AUAUCAAUAAGCGGAGGAAAAGAAACCAACAGGGAUUGCCUCAGUAACGGCGAGUGAAGCGGCAAUAGCUCAAAUUUGAAAGCUGGCGUCUUCGACGUCCGCGUUGUAAUUUGUAGAGGAUGCUUCGGCGAAGACUCCUGCCUAAGUCCCCUGGAACGGGGCGUCAUAGAGGGUGAGAAUCCCGUAUGUGGCGGGCAGUCUAAGCCAUGUGAAGCUCCUUCGACGAGUCGAGUUGUUUGGGAAUGCAGCUCUAAAUGGGAGGUAAAUUUCUUCUAAAGCUAAAUAUUGGCCAGAGACCGAUAGCGCACAAGUAGAGUGAUCGAAAGAUGAAAAGCACUUUGGAAAGAGAGUUAAAAAGUACGUGAAAUUGUUGAAAGGGAAGCGCUUGCAACCAGACUCGCUCGUAGUUGCUCAGCCGGCCUCUUGGCCGGUGUACUCUUCUACGAUCGGGCCAGCAUCAGUUCGGGCGGCAGGAUAAAGGUGUCGGGAAUGUAGCACCCUUCGGGGUGUGUUAUAGCCCGGCGCGGAAUGCUGCCAGCCUGGACUGAGGAUCUCGCUUCGGCAAGGAUGCUGGCGUAAUGGUUGUAAGCGGCCCGUCUUGAAACACGGACCAAGGAGUCUAACAUCUAUGCGAGUGUUUGGGUGUCAAACCCAUGCGCGUAAUGAAAGUGAACGGAGGUGGGAACCCCUCACGGGGUGCACCAUCGACCGAUCCUGAUGUCUUCGGAUGGAUUUGAGUAAGAGCAUAGCUGUUGGGACCCGAAAGAUGGUGAACUAUGCCUGAAUAGGGUGAAGCCAGAGGAAACUCUGGUGGAGGCUCGCAGCGGUUCUGACGUGCAAAUCGAUCGUCAAAUUUGGGUAUAGGGGCGAAAGACUAAUCGAACCAUCUAGUAGCUGGUUCCUGC
rnacentral:rRNA from 1 species